AUUGAACGCUGGCGGCAGGCCUAACACAUGCAAGUCGAACGAGUGGCGGACGGGUGUGAAAUGUCUGGGAAACUGCCCGAUGGAGGGGGAUAACAACAGGAAACGGUAGAUAUUACCGCAUACCAUAGGAGGUGCCCAUAUGGGAUGAGCUUGUAUGUGUGGUAAAGGCGCACGUAGGCGACGAUCCCUAGCUGGUCUGAGAGGGUGGCCAGCCACACUGGAACUGAGACACGGUCCAGACUCCUAAGGGAGGCAGCAGUGGGGAAUAUUGCACAAUGGGCGCAAGCCUGAUGCAGCCAUGCCGCGUGUAUGAAGAAGGCCUUCGGGUUGUAAAGUACUUUCAGCGGGGAGGCGUUACCCGCAGAAGAAGCACCGGCUAACUCCGUGCCAGCCGCCGCGGUAAUUC
rnacentral:rRNA from 1 species